UACGAAGGGGGCUAGCGUUGCCCGGAAUCACUGGGCGUAAAGGGUGCGUAGGCGGGUCUUUAAGUCAGGGGUGAAAUCCUGGAGCUCAACUCCAGAACUGCCUUUGAUACUGAGGAUCUUGAGUUCGGGAGAGGUGAGUGGAACUGCGAGUGUAGAGGUGAAAUUCGUAGAUAUUCGCAAGAACACCAGUGGCGAAGGCGGCUCACUGGCCCGAUACUGACGCUGAGGCACGAAAGCGUGGGGAGCAAACAGG
rnacentral:rRNA from 1 species